rnacentral:rRNA from 1 species
GAUGAACGCUGGCGGUAUGCUUAACACAUGCAAGUCGAACGGUCACUUCGGUGGUAGUGGCGGACGGGUGAGUAACGCGUGAGAAUCUGUCUUCAGGUCGGGGACAACAGUUAGAAAUGACUGCUAAUACCGGAUGUGCCUUUGGGUGAAAGAUUUAUUGCCUGAAAAAGAGCUCGCGUCAGAUUAGCUAGUAGGUGGUGUAAGAGACUACCUAGGCUCCGAUCUGUAGCUGGUCUGAGAGGACGAUCAGCCACACUGGAACUGAGACACGGUCCAGACUCCUACGGGAGGCAGCAGUGGGGAAUUUUCCGCAAUGGGCGAAAGCCUGACGGAGCAAUACCGCGUGAGGGACGAAGGCUUUUGGGUCGUAAACCUCUUUUCUCAAGGAAGAUGAUGACGGUACUUGAGGAAUAAGCAUCGGCUAACUCUGUG